GUGGGGAAUAUUGGACAAUGGGCGCAAGCCUGAUCCAGCCAUACCGCGUGGGUGAAGAAGGCCUUCGGGUUGUAAAGCCCUUUUGUUGGGAAAGAAAUCCUGUCGGUUAAUACCUGGCGGGGAUGACGGUACCCAAAGAGUAAGCACCGGCUAACUUCGUGCCAGCAGCCGCGGUAAUACGAAGGGUGCAAGCGUUACUCGGAAUUACUGGGCGUAAAGCGUGCGUAGGUGGUGGUUUAAGUCCGUUGUGAAAGCCCUGGGCUCAACCUGGGAAUUGCAGUGGAUACUGGAUCACUAGAGUGUGGUAGAGGGAUGCGGAAUUUCUGGUGUAGCAGUGAAAUGCGUAGAGAUCAGAAGGAACAUCCGUGGCGAAGGCGGCAUCCUGGGCCAACACUGACACUGAGGCACGAAAGCGUGGGGAGCAAACAGGAUUAGAUACCCCUGUAGUCC
rnacentral:rRNA from 1 species